rnacentral:snRNA from 1 species
GUGCUGGGUUCAGGAGCACAUAUUCUAAAAUUGGAAAGAUACCGAGAAGAUUAGCAUGGCCCCUGGAUGACAGGCAAAUGUGUGAAGUGGCCCAGAUUAAA